UACGUAGGGGGCAAGCGUUGUCCGGAAUCACUGGGCGUAAAGCGCACGUAGGCGGAUUCUUAAGUCGGGGGUGAAAUCCUGGAGCUCAACUCCAGAACUGCCUUCGAUACUGGGAAUCUUGAGUCCGGAAGAGGUGAGUGGAACUGCGAGUGUAGAGGUGAAAUUCGUAGAUAUUCGCAAGAACACCAGUGGCGAAGGCGGCUCACUGGUCCGGUACUGACGCUGAGGUGCGAAAGCGUGGGGAGCAAACAGG
rnacentral:rRNA from 1 species